rnacentral:misc_RNA from 1 species
CGUGUAUCAGUUAUCAGUGUUACCGAGUACCGCCGUAUCUUUGAAAUUUGGAAUUGGAUAAGAACUUUAAAAAAGUUACUUUGGGGGAGGUCAAGAGAAGUAGCCUGGAACAAGAAACCGAUGACAUUCCAACUAAUCCAGAGAAGUCAACCAUGAAGAAAGUCAUGACUACAGAGUACAAUGCUGCUGAAACUUCUACUAGCUCCAUCGUGCGAGCCGAGAAUAUUCAGACAGCUCAGAGACAACUUUUGCAGCAGACCACCGUGCCUCCAACAGUAGAUGGCUAUCACAACAAGACCAGCCUAGUACGGACAUCUACAACACUAGAUAUGGAAUUGGCUAAGAACUUGGAAGCAUUUACUCUGGGAGAGUUCAAGAGAAGUAACCUGGAACAACAAACUGGUAGAGGAAGGGGCAAGUUACUACAAAAGCUGGCAGACUUUCACAAGAAGACCAGCUCAGGGAGAACAUGUACAACACAAGACAUGGAAUUGGCUAAGAACUUGGAAGCAUUUACUCUGGGAGAGUUCAAGAGAAGUAACCUGGAACAACAAACUGAUGACAUUCCAAGUAAUCCAGAGAAGCCAACCAUGAAGAAAGUCAUGAUCACAGAGUACAAUGCUGCUGAAACUUCUAGCUCCAUCGUACAACCAGAGAUUAUUCAGACAACUCAGAGACAACCUUUACAGCAGACCACCGUGCCUCCAACAGUUGGUAGAGGAAGGGGCAAGUUACUACAAAAGCUGGCAGAGCUAGCCAGUAUACCAUGUACAUCAACCGCAUACCAAGAUACUGCCAGAGACAGAGAGGAGAAUCGCAGAGAUUUGGCAAUACUACCGUCUGGGAUCAGCGUUGGAACAGCUGCGAAACAACUCCCUGACAACAGUUUUUCAACCAGUUAAAUGUGCAGGAAGAGGGAGGAUGGCGGAAUACUUACAAAGAAAAAUCGCCAGUCUGGCAGACCAUACAGUAACGUCCGUAAACUAUCCAAGUCCAACAAAGAAAACUCCUGGUACUACCACUACCUUUGGAGAUACUUCUA